AACGAACGCUGGCGGCGCGCCUAACACAUGCAAGUCGAACGAGAAUCCGGGGCAACCCGGUAGUAAAGUGGCAAACGGGUGAGGAAUACAUGGGUAACCUACCCUUGAGAAGGGAAUAACCCGCCGAAAGGUGAGCUAAUACCCUAUACGCUAUCUUUUUUUCGAAAAGGAUAGGAAAGCCGGGUCGAGGACCUGGUACUCAAGGAGGGGCUCAUGUCCUAUCAGCUUGUUGGUGGGGUAACGGCCUACCAAGGCUACGACGGGUAGCUGGUCUGAGAGGAUGAUCAGCCACACUGGCACUGAGAUACGGGCCAGACUCCUACGGGAGGCAGCAGUGAGGAAUAUUGCGCAAUGGGCGAAAGCCUGACGCAGCGACGCCGCGUGGGGGAUGAAGGUUUUCGGAUUGUAAACCCUUUCAUGAGGAAAGGUAAAGUGGGUAACCACUUAGACGGUACCUCAAGAAGAAGCCACGGCUAACUUCGUG
rnacentral:rRNA from 1 species